rnacentral:rRNA from 1 species
AUGACACCUUUCAAUAUACUUGUGUGGAACGUUCAUGUACUAAGCAACCCGACGCGUUGCAACAUUGUAUCGCAAGUGGUGGAUGCCGCAAAACCUACUAUUAUAUGUCUCCAAGAAACAAAGCUAGAAGUUGUAACACCUGAAGUGGUUAGGCAUUGCCCAGGGAAUAAAUUCGAGAAUUUUUACUUCUUGCCUGCGAGGAGCACGCGAGGUGGAAUUCUCUUGGCCUGGGAUAAUUCGGUGGCCACCUUGUCAAACCUCCAUUACACAGAAAAAAUGGUCACAACACUUGUUCGGCCGGUGGAGGAACCGGUUGCUCUUUGGCGGGUCACGGGCGUCUACGGACCACAGGAGGAUCAUGAGAAGACUUUGUUCUUGCAGGAGCUAAGUGACAUCUGA